GACCGCGUAGCUCAGUUGGAAGAGCAUUGGGCUAGUAUUCCAAAGGUCGUAGGUUCGAAUCCUACCGUGGUCG
rnacentral:tRNA from 1 species